rfam:Pteropus alecto contig76154, whole genome shotgun sequence.
GUGCUCACUUCGGCAGCGCAUAUACUAAAAUCGGAAUACAGAGAAGAUUAGCACGGCCCCUGCACAAGGACGACACGCAAAUUUGUGAAGUGUUCCAUAUUUUU